rnacentral:misc_RNA from 1 species
GAAAUGCGAUACUUGGUGUGAAUUGCAGAAUCCCGUGAACCAUCGAGUCUUUGAACGCAAGUUGCGCCCGAAGCCAUCCGGCCGAGGGCACGUCUGCCUGGGCGUCACGCACGCCGUCGCCCCUUUCCCGCCCUGCGCCUUCCCCCCAGGGGACGGGCGCGCGGGGGGUGGGGCGGAACUUGGCCCCCCGUGCCCGUGAGGGCGCGGCCGGCCCAAAAAGAGGGAUCCCGGUGGCAGCGGUCACGGCCGGUGGUGGUUGUACCCAAAGCACAUUCGCGUCCCGGCGAGCGCCGCCUCACCGUCAGGAAUGCCCCUCGCGACCCCCGAGCGACGCCCCAGGGCGCCGCCCACGACGCGACCCCAGGUCAGGCGGGACUACCCGCUGAGUUUAA